UGAGGGAAGAAAUGAAGAAAGAAAGAAAAAAGAAAGGGAGAAGGCGUGAGAAAGAAAGAGAGAAUGCCUAGGAGGUGGAUAUUUAGCUCAAGGGCUCAAGAUUUUUGUGAAAGAAGGCAAGAACUGAAUAUGUGAUGGCAUGGUGAGCGGGGACUGUUCCAAGAAGGUGCAUGUGCUUUGUGAGGAGACUGCAUGGACGACGACGAUCCUAAGAACACAAUAGUUUAUUAUUAGUCUUAUGAAAUACAUUUAUUUAUGUUGGGACAUAUUUUAUUUAAUUGCAUGUUUUGGCUUUAUCCUUUAUGAAACUCAGCUUCAGAGCAAUAAUAAAGACUACUUUCUUGUGCA